rnacentral:rRNA from 1 species
CAGCAGCCGCGGUAAUACGGGAAGGGCAAGCGUUAUCCGGCAUGACUGGGCGUAAAGAGUCCGUAGACUGUAAAGUAAGUUUUUUGUUAAAUUUUAAGACCUAAUCUUAAACUUGCAAUUAAUACUGCUUUACUUUGAGUUUAAUACAGAAAAGUGGAAUUUUAUACGACGGGGGUGAAAUCCGUAGAUAUAUAAAGGAACGCCAACAGCGAAGGCAACUUUUUGGUAUAAACUGACUUUGAGGGACGAAAGCGUGGGUAGCAAACAGGAUUAGAGACCCUGGUAGUCCACGCCGUAAAUUCUGAGUGCUGUAAUUUAAUUGUAAUAUUUUAUGUUAUUACUUAGAUUUUCAAGCUAACGCAAUAAGCACUCCGCCUGAGGAGUACGAUCGCAAGAUUGGAACUCAAAGGAAUUGACGGGGUCUAACACUAGUGGUGGAGCAUGUGGUUUAAUGCGAUAAUCCGCGCAAAAUCUUACCUAUUCUUGACUUAUUGAAAUAGUUAUACAAAUUAAUAACCGGUUUUUUACUAUAAUAUUUCUCUACAGGUGUUGCACGACUGUCGUCGGCUCGUGUCGUGAGACGUC